AGACCAGGCAGUGAUAGAAGAACUGGGGGAAGAGAUAAUUGUAUUUAUCUUGGUGAGGGUGACAAAUCAUGGCAAAUGAGCAAAAUGAAAAAGGAUACAAGACACCGGACUUUCAAAUCAACAAUUGUUUCAAAAGACUCCUACUGGAUUCCUGCUAGUGAUGGGAGAAAAUUAUCAUUCUGUGAGUUGUCAAUAAAUGUUUAACCACAGUUCACCUUUUUUGGAUUUUAAGAUGUCUGCGCCACUAGGACGCUCAGAAAAAUUACCCUCCAAAUGCUACUUGGAGGAGGAUUCAGUACCACCCUGAGAAGGCAACCAGCUACAACCUUGGUUGUAGUUUCGGUUGCAGAAAGAGCGUGAAGUGUGCAACUCAUGUCUGUCUUCAUUUUAAUAGGCUAGUUAAUCUGUAGCCAGAGAUGAUUAAGGAGGUCAUUAAAGGAAAACAAGCUGCCCACCAUGCUGAUGCCUGGUUGUUCAGAUCGUUGAGGUGGUGUAGAGAUGACGCACACUGGCUCAGUUUACCCACAUUUGGAUCUACGGACCUGCAAGUCCUCUGUCAUGACACACCAGCCCUGGGAUAUCACAUAAGCUACAGGUCAGACGCUGCUUUCCAGACAGAAUUAUGGAGAAGACAACCAUCAUUUUGGAGCUAUAGAUAGUGGAUUUCAAGAGAGUACCAAGGUUGCUACUCCAUAAUGGCCAGAAGAGCAAGCCAAAAACAUCAGAGUAAACACAGAAACCUCACAUCUCAGGGAGGUUUGCUUAACAAACAUAUCAAGACCUGGGAUACCUGGAAAACUGCAGGCCCUGCUGGAAAUUUUCCAUGCUCUUCAUUCGUUCUCCUGUAUUUCCUAACGCCAAUAAAAGAGGAGAUCCCUGAGGACACGCCUCUCUUUAAUAUCUGCUUUCCUUGCAAAGAUAAGCCAAAGACCAAUGUAUGUCGUAUCUGCCCCCUUCAGCCUUUGGGACACAAUUUUGAUAAACCUUCCUCUAUUUCACAUUAACAGAAAAUGUCACUUCUCCCUUCCUAAUCUCCAAUGCAAACCUAACAUUUUAGCCCAACGUUUCUCAUGCUUGCACAAGCCAGCUUUUAAAUUCUGCUCAAUUCCAAUUUAAGAGUAGGCAUUGUGCUAGACAUUUAUAGCCCAAGAUCUGUAAGCAAAUAUAAUUCUGUGGACUAAGAAAGCUAACAUUUAAAGAACGGAAAGAGUUUUUUAUUUAAAAAAAAAACGCGAAUCACUAUCACUGCCUUUAUUAAUUCUCUAAGUACAAGCUGUUGUAAAUCUUCUCAGUGUUAGAUCCCACUGGAGAGUGAUUCAUCAUAUUGCACAUAAGCUCACUCCAGGCUGAAAUCAUAUCUAUAACGCAAGGGUGAUUAUGGUUGAACACUGGGCACCAAGAGGCUCUCUAGGAGUGCAGAAUGGAAUAUGGAAAAAGCACAU
rnacentral:lncRNA from 1 species